rnacentral:rRNA from 1 species
ACGCUAGCUACAGGCUUAACACAUGCAAGUCGAGGGGAAACGAUAUUGGAAGCUUGCUUCCGAUAGGCGUCGACCGGCGCACGGGUGAGUAACGCGUAUCCAACCUGCCCAUCACUUGGGAAUAACCUUGCGAAAGUAAGACUAAUGCCCAAUGAUAUUUAUAGAAGGCAUCGGAAAUGAAUUAAAGAUUUAUCGGUGAUGGAUGGGGAUGCGUCUGAUUAGCUUGUUGGCGGGGUAACGGCCCACCAAGGCGACGAUCAGUAGGGGUUCUGAGAGGAAGGUCCCCCACAUUGGAACUGAGACACGGUCCAAACUCCUACGGGAGGCAGCAGUGAGGAAUAUUGGUCAAUGGGCGAGAGCCUGAACCAGCCAAGUAGCGUGCAGGAUGACGGCCCUAUGGGUUGUAAACUGCUUUUAUAGGGGAAUAAAGUGAUCCACGUGUGGUUUUUUGCAUGUACCCUAUGAAUAAGGACCGGCUAAUUCCGUGCCAGCAGCCGCGGUAAUACGGAAGGUCCGGGCGUUAUCCGGAUUUAUUGGGUUUAAAGGGAGCGUAGGCCGGAGAUUAAGCGUGUUGUGAAAUGUAGAUGCUCAACAUCUGAACUGCAGCGCGAACUGGUUUCCUUGAGUACGCAUAAAGUGGGCGGAAUUCGUGGUGUAGCGGUGAAAUGCUUAGAUAUCACGAAGAACUCCGAUUGCGAAGGCAGCUCACUGGGGCGCAACUGACGCUGAAGCUCGAAAGCGCGGGUAUCGAACAGGAUUAGAUACCCUGGUAGUCCGCGCGGUAAACGAUGGAUGCCCGCUGUUGGGCCAACUGGUUCAGCGGCCAAGCGAAAGCAUUAAGCAUCCCACCUGGGGAGUACGCCGGCAACGGUGAAACU